rnacentral:rRNA from 1 species
AAUUUUUGGAGUGUACUUUUGAUUUUAUGGUGAAAUUGAAGAUUUUUGUGUGUGUGUGUUUAAGAUCAUAAGAUUUAGUGAACGAACCAGAUUAGUACCUGGUUAGAUAAAAAUUAAAAGAGCAGGAGUAAAGUUGAGUUUAAACUGUAAUAAUAUUGGCAGGCUUUUAAAUUAUCUUUGGAGGCUGAGUAGUAAUUGAGAGCCCUCAUUUACAACUCUUAUUUUGGGCUCAUGUAUGAUCGUUUAUUUUAUUCUUAAGGAUUGUAAUUUUAGUUUUUAUCUGUUAAAAUAGAUAUAUACUUGGUUUAUAUAGGAGGUUAAUUUGGCCUACAAUGUUGUAUUUUUUGGAUAGUGCUGGCAGUUGGUACUUGAAAUUGUAAAAGACAGUAAAGCCCCUUUAAUGGGGGAUUGAAGUUUAUUUAAAAGCGG